AUACGGAGGGUGCAAGCGUUAAUCGGAAUUACUGGGCGUAAAGGGCGCGUAGGCGGUUCUGUAAGUCGGGUGUGAAAGCCCCGGGCUCAACCCGGGAACUGCUUUCAAAACUGCUGAGCUAGAGUACGGUAGAGGGUGGUGGAAUUUCCUGUGUAGCGGUGAAAUGCGUAGAUAUUAGGAGGAAUACCAGUGGCGAAGGCGGCUCACUGGACCAAAACUGACGCUGAGGUACGAAAGCGUGGGGAGCAAACAGGAUUAGAAACCCCGGUAGUCC
rnacentral:rRNA from 1 species